rnacentral:lncRNA from 1 species
AUCUAACUAAUUUCUUAUGUUGGUCAUUUUUUAUACAGUUAUGUUUUAAUAACCAUCUGCACUCUUACCUCAGUGUCUCUACACUACAAAUUUGAGACUCAUCUGCCUAGAAGAGAAGUGAUCUGUGUUCCGAUUUAGUUGGAUUGAUCACUGUCCUCGAUGAUGAUCUCUAGAUCGGAAGCUUUUAAGAAUUAAUCAUCAAUAAUAUAUAUCCCAAAUUUUCAACACUUUGAGAAUAUAUAUC